rnacentral:rRNA from 1 species
ACCCGCUGAAUUUAAGCAUAUUAAUAAGCGGAGGAAAAGAAACUAACAAGGAUUCCCUCAGUAACGGCGAGUGAAGCGGGAAAAGCUCAAAUUUGAAAUCUUCGGAAUUGUAGUUUAGAGAAGGGUUUUCGCUGGGCUCUCCGACUUAAGUUCCUUGGAACAGGACUCCAUAGAGCGUGACAGACGCGUAAAGUCGCGGGAAGCUUAGCAUACGAUGCCCUUUCGACGAGUCGGGUUGUUUGGGAAUGCAGCCCAAAAUGGGUGGUAAAUUUCAUCUAAAGCUAAAUAUUGGCACAAGACCGAUAGCGAACAAGUACUGUGAAGGAAAGAUGAAAAGCACUUUGAAAAGAGAGUCAAAAGUACGUGAAACCGUCCUAAAGGAAGCGAUUGAAGUCAGCAGUGUUUAGUGCAUGAUCAGCGACCAGCCUCGACAGAUGGAGAUCGUAAGACUCCUGGGUUGGGGUGGGGUCGUUCACUCUUGUGCUAAACGGGUCAACCGCGGUUUGAAGGGAGAGAGAGGGGUGUGAGAAGGUAGCUUCGUACUUGUACGUGAGUGUUACAGCUCAUUGCCUGUGUCUCCUUUUGGAUCGUAGCAACGUGGAAUUACCAUAACCUGAUUACUUGUGAGCAUCUUGCCAGACUGCACGCAGUGUGGUAGGGUAGUGAGCCGGUAGGAGGGGGCGGAUAGAACACGUCUGGGUUGACGAAAUGGCUUUAACCGACCCGUCUAGAAACACGGACCAAGGAGUCUAACAUAUGAGCGAGUGUUUGGGUGUCAAACCCCGACGCGAAGUGAAAGCAAAAGGGGAGGUUAUCCUCGACCGAUCUGGAUAUUCUUUGAAAGAUUUGAGUAAGAGCUCAUCUGUUGGGACCCGAAAGAUGGUGAACUAUACCUGAAUAGGGUGAAGUCAGAGGAAACUCUGAUGGAAGCUCGUAGCGGUUCUGACGUGCAAAUCGAUCGUCAAAUUUGGGUAUAGGGGCGAAAGACUAAUCGAACCAUCUAGUAGCUGGUUCCCACCGAAGUUUCCCUCAGGAUAGCUGGAACUUUGACAGUUUUAUCAGGUAAAGCGAAUGAUUAGAGGCCGCUGUGGCGAAAUGCUGUAGCCCUAUUCUCAAACUUUAAAUAGGUAAGAAGCCCGACUUGCUUAAGUGAAGCCGGGCACUGAAUGUGAGUUCCAAGUGGGCCAUUUUUGGUAAGCAGAACUGGCGAUGCGGGAUGAACCGAACGCGGGAGUUAAGGCGCCAAAAUCGACGCUCAUCAGACCCCAUAAAAGGUGUUGGUUGAUCUAGACAGCAGGACGGUGGCCAUGGAAGUCGGAAUCCGCUAAGGAGUGUGUAACAACCCACCUGCCGAAUCAACUAGCCCUGAAAAUUGAUGGCGCUUAAGCGUCGUGCCUAUACUCCGCCGUUGACGCAAAUGCGAGGCGUCAACGAGUAGGUGGGCGUGGAGGUUGUGAAGAAGCCGAGGCGUAAGCCCAGGUGAAACGGCCUCUGGUGCAGAUCUUGGUGGUAGUAGCAAAUAUUCAAAUGAGAACUUUGAAGACUGAAGUGGAGAAAGGUUCCAUGUGAGCAGCAGUUGGACAUGGGUUAGUCGAUCCUAAGAGAUAGGGAAACUCCGUUUUAAGAGGUGCGAUUCGUUGCACAGCCUAUCGAAAGGGAAUCGGGUUAAUAUUCCCGAACCGGGACGAGGAUAGUUUUGCGGCAACGCAACUGAACUUGGAGACGCCGGCGGGGGCCCUGGGAAGAGUUCUCUUUUCUUUUUAACGCGCUGUAGCCCUGGAAUCGGAUUAUCCGGAGAUAGGGUUUAAUGCGCGGUAAAGCAGCGCACUUCAUGUGCUGUCCGGUGCGCCCCCGACGGCCCUUGAAAAUCCAAGGGAAAGAAUGAUUUUCUCGCCCGGUCGUACUCAUAACCGCAGCAGGUCUCCUAGGUUAACAGCCUCUAGUUGAUGCGACAAUGUAGGUAAGGGAAGUCGGCAAAAUAGAUCCGUAACUUCGGGAUAAGGAUUGGCU